GACGAACGCUGGCGGCGUGCCUAAUACAUGCAAGUAGAACGCUGAAGGAGGAGCUUGCUUCUCUGGAUGAGUUGCGAACGGGUGAGUAACGCGUAGGUAACCUGCCUGGUAGCGGGGGAUAACUAUUGGAAACGAUAGCUAAUACCGCAUGAUAUUGAUUAUUGCAUGAUAGUCAAUUAAAAGGUGCAAUUGCAUCACUACCAGAUGGACCUGCGUUGUAUUAGCUAGUUGGUGAGGUAACGGCUCACCAAGGCAACGAUAUAUAGCCGACCUGAGAGGGUGAUCGGCCACACUGGGACUGAGACACGGCCCAGACUCCUACGGGAGGCAGCAGUAGGGAAUCUUCGGCAAUGGACGGAAGUCUGACCGAGCAACGCCGCGUGAGUGAAGAAGGUUUUCGGAUCGUAAAGCUCUGUUGUAAGAGAAGAACGAGUGUGAGAGUGGAAAGUUCACACUGUGACGGUAUCUUACCAGAAAGGGACGGCUAACUACGUGCCAGCAGCCGCGGUAAUACGUAGGUCCUGAGCGUUGUCCGGAUUUAUUGGGCGUAAAGCGAGCGCAGGCGGUUAGAUAAGUCUGAAGUUAAAGGCUGUGGCUUAACCAUAGUAUGCUUUGGAAACUGUUUUACUUGAGUGCAAAGGGGAGAGUGGAAUUCCAUGUGUAUUGGCGUAACU
rnacentral:rRNA from 1 species